rnacentral:rRNA from 1 species
GAUGAAUGCUGGCUGCGUGCUUAACACAUGCAAGUCGAACGGUGAAGGGGAGCUUGCUCCCCGGAUCAGUGGCGAACGGGUGAGUAACACGUGGGCAACCUGCCCCUCACUCUGGGAUAACUCCGGGAAACCGGGGCUAAUACCGGAUACGACCGGGAGCGACAUCGCUCCUGGUGGAAAGAACUUCGGUGAGGGAUGGGCCCGCGGCCUAUCAGCUAGUUGGUGGGGUAACGGCCCACCAAGGCGACGACGGGUAGCCGGCCUGAGAGGGCGACCGGCCACACUGGGAAUGAGACACGGCCCAGACUCCUCCGGGAGGCAGCAGUGGGGAAUAUUGCGCAAGGGGCGAAAGCCUGACGCAGCGACGCAGCGUGAGGGACGAAGGCCUUCGGGUUGUAAACCUCUUUCAGCGGGGACGAAGCGAAGGUGACGGUACCCGCAGAGGAAGCACCGGCUAACUACGUGCCAGCCGCCGCGGUAAUAC